rnacentral:sRNA from 1 species
UCUGCGCCCCGGCCUGAACGGAAAUCCUUUUUUGCUUUGACUUAAUGUCUAUUUAAUGGCAACUUGACUGCAAAAAAGAUUGGGAGUGGAGGACGGAUAGAGGC